rnacentral:lncRNA from 1 species
CUUGGAUCGGGACAGUAGUACCUCUUCCAUGCAGCUGACCACAGCCAGGGUGGAACAGAAGCAUUAACGGCUGACCUCAGAGGCUGAGGAUGUAUUGCAUGACUUGGCAUGCAUAUGGCGCGAGAAGAGAGUGUGGGUGUGUGCCAGAGAAAUAGAGUACAUAAUAUUCACACUUUAAACGAGUGGAUUGGGUAAAAAAGUUCUCUGCCUAAAAGGACAUGAGCUGAACACCUGCUGAACUCUGCUCCCACAUCUUCUCCAGGUACGUCCAUGCAUUUUUCAACAAGACAAUGCAAAGUCAUAUAUUGCACACAUUACAAAGACAUGACUGCAU